rnacentral:rRNA from 1 species
CAUAGCGACUAUCGUGGCAUAUCAAUAAGCGGAGGAAAAGAAACUAACAAGGAUUCCCUUAGUAACGGCGAGUGAAGCGGGAAGAGCUCAAAUUUGAAAUCUUCAAGGUUUUACCUUGACGAAUUGUAGUUUAAAGAAGUGUUUUCUGUUGGAGUUUUGGUAAAAGUUCUUUGGAAUAGGACAUCAUAGAGGGUGAGAAUCCCGUAUUUGACCAUUAUUUCCAGCUUUGUGAUACACUUUCAAAGAGUCGGAUUGUUUGGGAAUGCAGUCCAAAAUGGGUGGUAAAUUUCAUCUAAAGCUAAAUAUUGGCGAGAGACCGAUAGCGAACAAGUACCGUGAGGGAAAGAUGAAAAGAACUUUGAAAAGAGAGUUAAACAGUACGUGAAAUUGUCAAAAGGGAAGCGUUUGACACCAGUGUUGUUUUUUCCGAAAAUCAAUUACGAAUGUUUUAUUUUUGAGAAGUUAUGACUUCAUCGGCUUGCUUCUCUCUUUAUGAAACUUUCUUAAUGCACUUUUCGGUUAACAAGUCAACAUCAAUUUCUUUUGUUGUAAAAGGGUAUGAGGAAGGUGGCUUUCUUUUCGGAGAAAGUGUUUAUAGCCUUGUGCCUCUGCAAUCGGAGAGAUUGAGGUCUGCAGCGUAGAUCCUUCGGGGUUAGAUACGUUUGUGCUAAGUUAUAGCUUUUCAUAGACAACUUGUUGACUAUGAUUAAGUCAUUGUAGCUUACUCGCUUAUGCUAUUUUACCUACGCUUAGGAUGUUGAUAGUCACAGCGUGUAC